rnacentral:rRNA from 1 species
ACGGAAGGCAGCAGUGGGGAAUAUUGGGCAAUGGGCGAAAGCCUGACCCAGCAACGCCGCGUGAAGGAAGAAGGUCUUCGGAUUGUAAACUUCUUUUAUCAGGGACGAAGAAAGUGACGGUACCUGAUGAAUAAGCCACGGCUAACUACGUGCCAGCAGCCGCGGUAAUACGGAAGAUGCGAGCGUUAUCCGGAUUUAUUGGGUUUAAAGGGAGCGUAGGCGGCCUUUUAAGUCAGCGGUCAAAUGUCAGCGCCCAACGCUGGCCUGCCGUUGAUACUGAUGGGCUUGAAUACACACAAGGAAGGUGGAAUUCGUCGUGUAGCGGUGAAAUGCUUAGAUAUGACGAAGAACUCCGAUUGCGAAGGCAGCCUUCUGGAGUGCGAUUGACGCUGAGGCUCGAAAGCGCGGGUAUCAAACAGGAUUAGAUACCCUGGUA